rnacentral:rRNA from 1 species
CAUUUGAGUGAGUGGCGAACUGGUGAGUAACACGUGGGAAACCUGCCCAGAAGCGGGGGAUAACACCUGGAAACAGAUGCUAAUACCGCAUAACAACUUGGACCGCAUGGUCCGAGCUUGAAAGAUGGCUUCGGCUAUCACUUUUGGAUGGUCCCGCGGCGUAUUAGCUAGAUGGUGGGGUAACGGCUCACCAUGGCAAUGAUACGUAGCCGACCUGAGAGGGUAAUCGGCCACAUUGGGACUGAGACACGGCCCAAACUCCUACGGGAGGCAGCAGUAGGGAAUCUUCCACAAUGGACGAAAGUCUGAUGGAGCAACGCCGCGUGAGUGAAGAAGGGUUUCGGCUCGUAAAACUCUGUUGUUAAAGAAGAACAUAUCUGAGAGUAACUGUUCAGGUAUUGACGGUAUUUAACCAGAAAGCCACGGCUAACUACGUGCCAGCAGCCGCGGUAAUACGUAGGUGGCAAGCGUUGUCCGGAUUUAUUGGGCGUAAAGCGAGCGCAGGCGGUUUUUUAAGUCUGAUGUGAAAGCCUUCGGCUCAACCGAAGAAGUGCAUCGGAAACUGGGAAACUUGAGUGCAGAAGAGGACAGUGGAACUCCAUGUGUAGCGGUGAAAUGCGUAAAUAUAUGGAAGAACACCAGUGGCGAAGGCGGCUGUCUGGUCUGUAACUGACGCUGAGGCUCGAAAGUAUGG